ensembl:lncRNA
CUCCUGUCCAGGGGAUUGGCUCGGGGAGGGAGGGUGGUUGUGAAUGAGCUCCAGAACUCCUGUAUAAGUACACCUCACAUGGUUAUUAUUAAACAGAUGUGAUGAAGUAGAACCCAUGCUGCUGUUAUUGCAGGAAUCAGGACGGAACCAACCUUUAACUAGGUCGCUGACAAACGCCCCUUUAUGUACUCUGACUGUUUCCACGUUUGGUGAGGAUGAUGAGGUUUACAAAAGUUGGGGAGCCCAACACCAACCCGGAGGGGUAAACCAAACCCCU